UACGUAGGGUGCGAGCGUUAAUCGGAAUUACUGGGCGUAAAGCGUGCGCAGGCGGUUGUGUAAGACAGAUGUGAAAUCCCCGGGCUUAACCUGGGAACUGCAUUUGUGACUGCACGGCUGGAGUGCGGCAGAGGGGGAUGGAAUUCCGCGUGUAGCAGUGAAAUGCGUAGAUAUCGAGAGGAACACCAGUGGCGAAGGCGAGUCCCUGGACAACUCCUGACGCUGAGGCACGAAAGCUAGGGGAGCAAACAGG
rnacentral:rRNA from 1 species